rnacentral:rRNA from 1 species
AUUGAACGCUGGCGGCAGGCCUAACACAUGCAAGUCGAGCGGAUGAAGGGAGCUUGCUCCUGGAUUCAGCGGCGGACGGGUGAGUAAUGCCUAGGAAUCUGCCUGGUAGUGGGGGAUAACGUCCGGAAACGGGCGCUAAUACCGCAUACGUCCUGAGGGAGAAAGUGGGGGAUCUUCGGACCUCACGCUAUCAGAUGAGCCUAGGUGGGGUUAGCUAGUUGGUGGGGUAAAGGGCUACCAAGGCGACGAUCCGUAAGUGGUCUGAGAGGAUGAUCAGUCACACUGGAACUGAGACACGGUCCAGGCUCCUACGGGAGGCAGCAGUGGGGAAUAUUGGACAAUGGGCGAAAGCCUGGUCCAGCCAUGCCGCGUGUGUGAAGAAGGUCUUCGGAUUGUAAAGCACUUUAAGUUGGGAGGAAGGGCAGUAAGUUAAUACCUUGCUGUUUUGACGUUACCAACAGAAUAAGCACCGGCUAACUUCGUG